rnacentral:rRNA from 1 species
CCUACGGGAGGCUGCAGUGGGGAAUAUUGGACAAUGGGCGAAAGCCUGAUCCAGCCAUGCCGCGUGUGUGAAGAAGGCCUUCGGGUUGUAAAGCACUUUCAGUGGGGAAGAAAGCCUUGGGGCUAAUACCCUCGAGGAAGGACAUCACCCACAGAAGAAGCACCGGCUAACUCCGUGCCAGCAGCCGCGGUAAUACGGAGGGUGCGAGCGUUAAUCGGAAUUACUGGGCGUAAAGCGCGCGUAGGCGGUCUGAUAAGCCGGUUGUGAAAGCCCCGGGCUCAACCUGGGAACGGCAUCCGGAACUGUCAGGCUAGAGUGCAGGAGAGGAAGGUAGAAUUCCCGGUGUAGCGGUGAAAUGCGUAGAGAUCGGGAGGAAUACCAGUGGCGAAGGCGGCCUUCUGGACUGACACUGACGCUGAGGUGCGAAAGCGUGGGUAGCAAACAGGAUUAGAUACCCUUUAGUC